rnacentral:rRNA from 1 species
AUUGAACGCUGGCGGCAGGCCUAACACAUGCAAGUCGAACGAGUGGCGGACGGGUGAGUAAUGUCUGGGAAACUGCCCGAUGGAGGGGGAUAACUACUGGAAACGGUAGCUACUACCGCAUACCAUCGGAUGUGCCCAGAUGGGAUUAGCUAGUAGGUGGGGUAACGGCUCACAUCGGCGACGAUCCCUAGCUGGUCUGAGAGGAUGCCCCGCCACACUGGAACUGAGACACGGUCCAUACUCCUACGGGGUGCAGCAGUGGGAAAUAUUGCACAAUGGGCGAAAGCCUGAUGGAUCCAUGCCGCGUGUAUGACGAGGGCGUUCGGGUUGUAAAGUACUUUCAGCGAGGAGGCGGUACUCGCAGAAGAAGCACCGGCUAACUCCGUGCCAGCAGCCGCGGUAAUUC